GGGCGGAGGGGAGGGGACGGGCGGGUUACGGCGCAUUUCUUGCGGGGGCCGCCGCCGCUUUGUCUGCGGGGGAAAGUUUGGCGAGGCGAGGCGCUGCCCCGGCACCUGCCGAAGGGGCGGCGGGGCCACCCCGCUUCCCCUUCCUUCCCGUCCCCUGCAGCCGGCGGCGGGGCCAUGGGCGCCCGGGCGACGCUGUGCCUCCUCAGCGCGGCGCUGGCCGCCGCCGCCUCAGCCUGCAGGUGCCUGUAUCUACCAAGGCUUGUUGUUUGAGAAGGCUGCUGUCUCAGGUCAGUUUUGAAGUGGAAGAUGACAAGAAAAUCAAACCUGCCCGGCUGUCGUUUCAGUUCCUGCAGGUUCCCUGGCUUCAGAAUGAACAUUGCUUUCAAAAAAAUACGAAUCUGAAGACCCAUAUGGGAGACACUCAGUCUGUCGAACUCAGUGCUUGUAGGGCAUUGGUGCAGCUGUCUGACAAAUGAAGAUUGGGAUCUAUUGCCUCAUGGCUUUGCUGGUACAAUUGUGUUUAUUGAGGCUGGGGAGGAGGGUCUUUCUGAAUCACUGGUUUGGGAUUCUGGAGGUACAAGCUGAAAUGUAUCUGUUAUACUGUCGCCUUAAUUUUAUUUUUUUCACUGUCUUCUUUUUUUUUUUUUUUUUUUUACCUUUAUCCCAGACCAUGA
rnacentral:lncRNA from 1 species